rnacentral:tRNA from 2 species
GUUCCCGUAGUUGAAUUACAACGGUGGUUUUUCAAGUCACUGGUUUCGGUUAGAGUCCGGGCGGGAAUU